CACCGACAGACCCAAGCUCCUGAUGGACUCCGGCCCUCUGAUCUGCAUCUCGGCAUCAAACACCCAGUACUUCUCACCUGCAGAGACAGAGCUUGUUGUUGGAGUUUCAGUGGAUAAAGACAACAUCCAGUCACAAGGGCAGAGGUUUAACCCUGAAGUGUCUUUGAACAAGCUGCUGAAUGUCUGCCUGUUCUCUCUCAAGGCGGCGUCGAUGCUGUCAGGAAUCCCCCUCCAGUGACGGGACGCCAGCGCCGGGUAACCGCUCUCCAGAUGCCCGUCCCUGAUCCGCCAAACGUAGCCCGACUUAAAGAAGAACAGCUCCCCUCGGAUCAUAGACACGGCAUCAAAGUCCGUCUGGCAGGCGUCGGGCUGGAACCUCACACUCACCCAUGUGGUUUCCAAGGGUCCAUGACUCAUCGUAGUCGAAGUGAAUGUCGCCCUGUCUGUGUGUUUUGGGGAAGAAAGCGUGAGCGAGGAUCCCACCCGGGCCGUCGAAGGGGAGGUUGUCUCCGUGCCAGUACCUACAGUCGAUGCGGAUGUCGGCCUUCCCGCUGUGGAUCUCGGUGAAAGUGAGCGGGGUGACGUCACUCCAGAUUUUCAGAGCUUCCCGAAAGACACGUCGAAC